rnacentral:rRNA from 1 species
UUAUACUGUGAAACUGCGAAUGGCUCAUUAAAUCAGUUAUCGUUUAUUUGAUAGUACCUUACUACAUGGAUACCUGUGGUAAUUCUAGAGCUAAUACAUGCUAAAAACCCCGACUUCGGAAGGGGUGUAUUUAUUAGAUAAAAAACCAAUGCCCUUCGGGGCUCCUUGGUGAUUCAUAAUAACUUAACGAAUCGCAUGGCCUUGCGCCGGCGAUGGUUCAUUCAAAUUUCUGCCCUAUCAACUUUCGAUGGUAGGAUAGUGGCCUACCAUGGUGGCAACGGGUAACGGGGAAUUAGGGUUCGAUUCCGGAGAGGGAGCCUGAGAAACGGCUACCACAUCCAAGGAAGGCAGCAGGCGCGCAAAUUACCCAAUCCCGACACGGGGAGGUAGUGACAAUAAAUACUGAUACGGGGCUCUUUCGGGUCUCGUAAUUGGAAUGAGUACAAUCUAAAUCCCUUAACGAGGAACAAUUGGAGGGCAAGUCUGGUGCCAGCAGCCGCGGUAAUUCCAGCUCCAAUAGCGUAUAUUAAAGUUGUUGCAGUUAAAAAGCUCGUAGUUGAACCUUGGGUCUGGCUGGCCGGUCCGCCUCACCGCGAGUACUGGUCCGGCUGGACCUUUCCUUCUGGGGAAUCCCAUGGCCUUCACUGGCUGUGGGGGGAACCAGGACUUUUACUGUGAAAAAAUUAGAGUGUUCAAAGCAGGCCUUUGCUCGAAUACAUUAGCAUGGAAUAAUAGAAUAGGACGUGCGGUUCUAUUUUGUUGGUUUCUAGGACCGCCGUAAUGAUUAAUAGGGAUAGUCGGGGGCGUCAGUAUUCAGCUGUCAGAGGUGAAAUUCUUGGAUUUGCUGAAGACUAACUACUGCGAAAGCAUUCGCCAAGGAUGUUUUCAUUAAUCAGGGAACGAAAGUUAGGGGAUCGAAGACGAUCAGAUACCGUCGUAGUCUUAACCAUAAACUAUGCCGACUAGGGAUCGGGCGGUGUUUCUAUGAUGACCCGCUCGGCACCUUACGAGAAAUCAAAGUUUUUGGGUUCUGGGGGGAGUAUGGUCGCAAGGCUGAAACUUAAAGAAAUUGACGGAAAGGGCUCCACAAGGCGUGGAGCCUGCGGCUUAAUUUGGACUCAACACGUGGGAAACUCCCCAGGGGCCAGACAAAAUAAGGGAUUGACAGAUUGAGAGCUCUUUCUUGAUCUUUUGGAUGGUGGUGCAUGGCCGUUCUUAGUUGGUGGAGUGAUUUGUCUGCUUAAUUGCGAUAACGAACGAGACCUCGGCCCUUAAAUAGCCCGGUCCGCAUUUGCGGGCCGCUGGCUUCUUAGGGGGACUAUCGGCUCAAGCCGAUGGAAGUGCGCGGCAAUAACAGGUCUGUGAUGCCCUUAGAUGUUCUGGGCCGCACGCGCGCUACACUGACAGGGCCAGCGAGUACAUCACCUUGGCCGAGAGGUCUGGGUAAUCUUGUUAAACCCUGUCGUGCUGGGGAUAGAGCAUUGCAAUUAUUGCUCUUCAACGAGGAAUGCCUAGUAGGCACGAGUCAUCAGCUCGUGCCGAUUACGUCCCUGCCCUUUGUACACACCGCCCGUCGCUACUACCGAUUGAAUGGCUCGGUGAGGCCUUCGGACUGGCUCCAGGGGGUUGGCAACGACCCCU